UACGUAGGGGCAAGCGUUGUCCGGAUUUAUUGGGCGUAAAGAGCGUGUAGGCGGUUAUGCAGGUCCGCUGUGAAAACUGGAGGCUUAACCUCCAGACGUCGGUGGAAACCGUAUGACUAGAGUCCGGAAGAGGAGAGUGGAAUUCCUGGUGUAGCGGUGAAAUGCGCAGAUAUCAGGAAGAACACCCGUGGCGAAGGCGGCUCUCUGGGACGGUACUGACGCUGAGACGCGAAAGCGUGGGGAGCGAACAGG
rnacentral:rRNA from 1 species